UUGGAGGGCAAGUCUGGUGCCAGCAGCCGCGGUAAUUCCAGCUCCAAUAGCGUAUAUUAAAGUUGUUGCAGUUAAAAAGCUCGUAGUUGAAUUUCGGGAUUAGUACGUUGGUCGUGUCUUCGGUACGUACUGGUGUUACUGAUUCCUACCUUCUGACGAACCAUCAUGUCAUUAAUUUGGUGUGGCGGGGAAUCAGGACUGUUACUUUGAAAAAAUUAGAGUGUUUAAAGCAGGCUCGCGCUUGAAUACAUUAGCAUGGAAUAAUGAAAUAGGACGUUGAUCCUAUUUUGUUGGUUUCUAGGAUUGACGUAAUGAUUAAUAGGGAUAGUUGGGGGCAUUAGUAUUCAAUUGUCAGAGGUGAAAUUCUUGGAUUUAUUGAAGACUAACUACUGCGAAAGCAUUUGCCAAGGAUGUUUUCAUUAAUCAAGAACGAAAGUUAGGGGAUCGAAGACGAUCAGAUACCGUCGUAGUCUUAACCAUAAACUAUGCCGACUAGGGAUCGGAUGAUGUUAUUUUUAAUGACUCAUUCGGCGCCUUACGGGAAAC
rnacentral:rRNA from 1 species